rnacentral:rRNA from 1 species
CCAGACUCCUACGGGAGGCAGCAGUGGGGAAUAUUGCACAAUGGGGGAAACCCUGAUGCAGCAACGCCGCGUGAGUGAAGAAGUAUUUCGGUAUGUAAAGCUCUAUCAGCAGGGAAGAAGAAAGACGGUACCUGACUAAGAGGCCCCGGCUAACUACGUGCCAGCAGCCGCGGUAAUACGUAGGGGGCAAGCGUUAUCCGGAUUUACUGGGUGUAAAGGGAGCGUAGACGGCGAUGCAAGUCUGAAGUGAAAGGCGGGGGCCCAACCCCCGGACUGCUUUGGAAACUGUAUGGCUGGAGUGCAGGAGAGGUAAGUGGAAUUCCUAGUGUAGCGGUGAAAUGCGUAGACAUUAGGAGGAACACCAGUGGCGAAGGCGGCUUACUGGACGGUAACUGACGUUGAGGCUCGAAAGCGUGGGGAGCAAACAGGAUUAGAUACCCCUGUAAAC